ACGUGGGGAGGAGCUUGCUCCGCCCCGACGACGAGUGGCGAACGGGUGAGUAAUACAUCGGAACGUGUCCGCUCGUGGGGGACAACCAGCCGAAAGGUUGGCUAAUACCGCAUGAGUUCUACGGAAGAAAGAGGGGGACCCGCAAGGGCCUCUCGCGAGCGGAGCGGCCGAUGACUGAUUAGCCGGUUGGUGAGGUAACGGCUCACCAAAGCAACGAUCAGUAGCUGGUCUGAGAGGACGACCAGCCACACUGGGACUGAGACACGGCCCAGACUCCUACGGGAGGCAGCAGUGGGGAAUUUUGGACAAUGGGCGCAAGCCUGAUCCAGCUAUUCCGCGUGUGGGAUGAAGGCCCUCGGGUUGUAAACCACUUUUGUAGAGAACGAAAAGACACCAUCGAAUAAAUGGUGUUGCUGACGGUACUCUAAGAAUAAGCACCGGCUAACUACGUGCCAGCAGCCGCGGUAAUACGUAGGGUGCGAGCGUUAAUCGGAAUUACUGGGCGUAAAGGGUGCGCAGGCGGUUGAGUAAGACAGAUGUGAAAUCCCCGAGCUUAACUCGGGAAUGGCAUAUGUGACUGCUCGACUAGAGUGUGUCAGAGGGAGGUGGAAUUCCACGUGUAGCAGUGAAAUGCGUAGAU
rnacentral:rRNA from 1 species